rnacentral:lncRNA from 1 species
GCCGGUGAAAGGAACUUUCCGGCGGAAAACAGAGGGAGUACGGUGAGAGGUUUGGCGUUGGAAAGAAGAAGAGUAAAAAAUAAUUCAUUUUUUAUUUUCCUCUGUGUUUUGAGAGAGAGAGAAGGGAGAGUUUAUUACUUUUUCUUUUCUUUUUUAAUACAUAUUUUUUUUAGAGAGAGACUGAUAGAGUGGAGUGUGAUGAUGGAAAUGAG